AGUGAACGCUGGCGGCAGGCUUUACACAUGCAAGUCGAACGGCAGCAGAGAAAAAGUUUCUUCUCUGGCGGGGCGAGGCGCGGGCGGGAGUAGUACAUCUCGGAAUGUCCUUUUUAGGGGGGGAACCAGCCGGGAAGCUUACGAAUAUACCGUAAAUGCUGUGCGAGUAAGAGCAGGGCAUGUUAGUACCCCGCGCGAUUUAUUGACGGGAUGUCGGAUUAGCUAGUUGGCGGGGUAAAGGCCCACCAAGGCGAAGAUCUGUAGCGGGUCUGAGAGGAUGAUCCGCCACACUGGGACUGAGACACGGCCCAGACUCCUACGGGAGGCAGCAGUGGGGAAUUUUGGACAAUGGGGGCAAGCCUGAUCCAGCCAUGCCGCGUGUAUGAAGAAGGCCUUAGGGUUGUAAAGUACUUUUGUUAGGGAAGAAAAGCCAGCUGUGAAUAACGGCCGAUACUGACGGUACCUAAAGAAUAAGCACCGGCUAACUACGUG
rnacentral:rRNA from 1 species